CCUAACAAUAAAAUUAAAAAUUAGCCACAAAUUCAUUCCCCACAAAUUCAUAAUUUUUUACUCUCUCUCUCUCAUCACUCUCUCUCUACGUUCUCUCUCUCUCUCUCUCUCUCUCUCUCUGUUCUCUCUCUCUCUCUCGUCCUCGCCGCCCGUCCGCCGCGCCGCUCCGCCCCCACUCAAUCGCCGCUCGCUCAGCCGCGCAGGAAGGUCCUGCACCGGCGUCUUCAGCUGGAGUGGCGUUGCUGUCGAUCGCCGCCAGCUGCGCCGUCGCCGUAGCUUUGUUCGUCUUCGACUCUGCACUCAAGAUCUGAGUUAAGCUUAGCAUUGUUGAUGAUGAUCGCCUAAUGAAAUCGAUUGAAUUGCACGAGGAGAAAGAAUCGUGUUUGAGCAUAGACAUGGUUAAUUAAAAGAAGAAGAAGAAGAUGAGUUGAGAAAAAGAGUGGAAGACUUCAUCGAGAAAAGCAACAGACAUUGGGAGGCAAAAAAAAUCAAUGAAUAUAUCUAUAAUUCUUGGCUGGUAAGAAAGAGAGAAUGAUUUCACAAUAUGGUAGAUAUAGAAGUUUGUUUGGAAGUCAUUUGUUUUUAGAAGUUUCAGAUAAACUUUGGAAAAAAUAUAAAAAUAAAGUGAUUGAAAAUUGAUUAAUGUUCUUGAAUUCACGAUCA
rnacentral:lncRNA from 1 species